rnacentral:rRNA from 1 species
CAGUCGCCGCGGGAAUACGUAGGUGGCAAGCGUUGUCCGGAUUUAUUGGGCGUAAAGCGAGCGCAGGCGGUCAAUUAAGUCUGAUGUGAAAGCCCCCGGCUCAACCGGGGAGGGUCAUUGGAAACUGGUUGACUUGAGUGCAGAAGAGGAGAGUGGAAUUCCAUGUGUAGCGGUGAAAUGCGUAGAUAUAUGGAGGAACACCAGUGGCGAAGGCGACUCUCUGGCCUGUAACUGACGCUGAGGCUCGAAAGCGUGGGUAGCAAACAGGAUUAGAUACCCCUGUAGUCCCUGUCUCUUAUAA